UUACGCCGUGUAAACCACUGUCAGGACUUAGGAAGAACUGACCGAGUCCAAAGGAAGGGCCGGCUAAUCUCGUGCCAGCAGCCGCGGUAAUACGAGAGGCCCGAGCGUUAGGCGGAAUCACUGGGCUUAAAGGGUGCGUAGGCGGAUCAGUAAGCAUUUUGUGAAAUCCCUCGGCUCAACCGAGGAAUUGCAGAGUGAACUGCUGGUCUUGAGGUAGGCAGAGGUCAUCGGAACGUACGGUGGAGCGGU
rnacentral:rRNA from 1 species